rnacentral:rRNA from 1 species
AGAAAAAAGGUACAAGGUUCCGUAGGUGAACCUGCGGAAGGAUCAUUA